UUCUUAGACCCGCGCGGCGUUUUUCUAAGAAAACGAGUCAGGCGGGGAACCGAGCAGCUCCGCUUAAAAGAGCGCGCGCCGCGGCAAUCUGAGAAGAA
rnacentral:SRP_RNA from 1 species